GAUGAACGCUGGCGGCGUGCCUAACACAUGCAAGUCGAGCGAACGGACGAGAAGCUUGCGUCUCUGAUGUUAGCGGCGGACGGGGGAGUAACACGUGGAUAACCUACCUAUAAGACUGGGAUAACUUCGGGAAACCGGAGCCAAUACCGGAUAAUAUUUUGAACGGCAUGGUUCAAGAGUGAAAGAGGGUCUUGCUGUCACUGAGAGAUGGAUCCGUGCUGCAUUAGCUAGUUGGUAAGGUAACGGCUUACCAAGGCAACGAUGCAUAGCCGACCUGAGAGGGUGAUCGGCCGCACUGGAACUGAGACACGGUCCAGACUCCUACGGGAGGCAGCAGUAGGGAAUCUUCCGCAAUGGGCGAAAGCCUGACGGAGCAACGCCGCGUGAGUGAUGAAGGUCUUCGGAUCGUAAAACUCUGUUAUUAGGGAAGAACAUAUGUGUAAGUAACUGUGCACAUCUUGACGGUACCUAAUCAGAAAGCCACGGCUAACUACGUG
rnacentral:rRNA from 1 species